rnacentral:rRNA from 1 species
UGAGGAAUAUUGCACAGUGGGCGCAAGCCUGAUGCAGCAACGCCGCGUGCGGGACGAAGGCCUUCGGGUCGUAAACCGCUUUUCUGGGGAAAGAGCAAGGACGGUACCUCAGGAAUAAGUCUCGGCUAACUACGUGCCAGCAGCCGCGGUAAAACGUAGGAGGCGAGCGUUAUCCGGAUUUACUGGGCGUAAAGCGCACGCAGGCGGCUCUGUGAGUCGGACGUGAAAGCUCCCGGCUUAACCGGGAGAGGCCGUUCGAUACUGCGGGGCUUGAGGUAGGGAGAGGAAUGCGGAAUUCCCGGUGUAGUGGUGGAAUGCGUAGAUAUCGGGAGGAACGCCUGUGGCGAAAGUGGCAUUCUGGCCCUCACCUGACGCUGAGGUGCGAAAGCGUGGGUAGCAAACAG